rnacentral:rRNA from 1 species
GCUGGCGGCACGCCUUAUACAUGCAAGUCGAACGAAGUAGCAAUACUUAGUGGCAGACGGGUGAGUAACAUGUAGGUAUCUUCCCUUUGGUGAGGAAUAACGCGAGGAAACUUGCGCUAAUACCUCAUAAGUCUUUACGGAGAAAGCUUUAUGCGCCGAAGGAUGAGCCUGCAUUUGAUUAGUUUGUUGGUGGGGUAAUGGCCUACCAAGACUUUGAUCAAUAGCUGAUCUGAGAGGAUGAUCAGCCACAUUGGGACUGAGACACGGCCCAAACUCCUACGGGAGGCAGCAGUAGGGAAUAUUGCACAAUGGAGGAAACUCUGAUGCAGCGAUGCCGCGUGAGUGAAGAAGGCCCUUGGGUUGUAAAGCUCUUUCGUCGGGGAAGAAAAUGACUGUACCCGAAUAAGAAGGUCCGGCUAACUUCGUGCCAGCAGCCGCGGUAAUACGAAGGGACCUAGCGUAGUUCGGAAUUACUGGGCUUAAAGAGUUCGUAGGUUGUUAAAAAAGUUGGUGGUGAAAUCCCAGAGCUUAACUCUGGAACUGCCAUCAAAACUUUUUAGCUAGAGUAUGAUAGAGGAAAGCAGAAUUUCUAGUGUAGAGGUGAAAUUCGUAGAUAUUAGAAAGAAUACCAAUUGCGAAGGCAGCUUUCUGGAUCAUUACUGACACUGAGGAACGAAAGCAUGGGUAGCGAAGAGGAUUAGAUACCCUCGUAGUCCAUGCCGUAAACGAUGUGUGUUAGACGUUGGAAAUUUAUUUUCAGUGUCGCAGCGAAAGCAUUAAACACACCGCCUGGGGAGUACGACCGCAGUAACUCAAAGUGAAUGCG